rnacentral:lncRNA from 1 species
AACCAUUCUCAGGAAAAUUGUAAAAGUAAUCAUUGGACCUACCCAGUCCCCACCCUGCCAGCCUUCAGGAAAAGACUUAGACUGCAAAACUUCAAUUAAUCAGAACAUUCAGGGGCUGUGUCCUGGAAAGGGUUUCAAUAUGAUGCAGAAAUUUGAUGUGUGUUGAAUGUGACCAGAUUCUAGUAGAUGCCCAGAGAGGUUUUAAGUCAUUGAUUACAUACCUGACGUGAACCUGUUAUUGUCAUUACUUUCUUCCUCAGCAAGAG